rnacentral:tRNA from 1 species
GGGCUGGUGGCGGAACUGGUAGACGCGACGGACUUAAAAUCCGUUAGCCGCAAGGCUGUGCGGGUUCGAUUCCCGCCCUGCCCA